AGAUUGAACGCUGGCGGCAUGCCUAACACAUGCAAGUCGAACGGGAGUAGCAAUACUCUAGUGGCGGACGGGUGAGGAAUACGUAGGAAUUUGCCCUUAAGUGGGGGAUAACCCGGGGAAACCCGGAUUAAUACCGCAUGACCUCGAAAGAGCAAAGUGGGGGAUCGCAAGGCCUCACGCUUUUGGAGAAGCCUACGUCGGAUUAGCUAGUUGGUGAGGUAAUGGCUCACCAAGGCGACGAUCCGUAACUGGUCUGGAGAGAUGAUCGAGUCACCGAACCGGAACUGAGACGACCGGUCCGACUACCGUACGGGAGCGAGCAGGUAGGGAAUAGGUAGACAAGGU
rnacentral:rRNA from 1 species